rnacentral:rRNA from 1 species
GACGAACGCUGGCGGCGUGCUUAACACAUGCAAGUCGAGCGGUAAGGCCCUUUCGGGGGUACACGAGCGGCGAACGGGUGAGUAACACGUGGGUGACCUGCCCUCAGCUCUGGGAUAAGCCUGGGAAACCGGGUCUAAUACCGGAUAUGACUCCAUGACGCAUGUUGUGGGGUGGAAAGCCUUGUGCGGCUGAGGAUGGGCCCGCGGCCUAUCAGCUUGUUGGUGGGGUGAUGGCCUACAAGGCGACGACGGGUAGCCGGCCUGAGAGGGCGACCGGCCACACUGGGACU